rnacentral:lncRNA from 1 species
UAGUACACUACCUCUCAAGCUCUCUUGUACAAACACUCUUGUAAUUAUUCAAAGUGAAAUACAAUCAUCUUUGGCCAUUCCACUCUUAUUUCCCUUAACAUUUUCUCCAAGUGUGUGUGCUUGGCUUGUUUAGGGAGUAAUCUAGGCUUACUUGGCGACUCACACGCUAAGGUCGCUCAAGUGCCGCACGGGAACUUACUGCGCAAAACUAUCACCCCGUGACAAGUGGUAUCGGAGCUACGGUUUGCACCCACACGCAAACUAGCUCAUAGACGAUGGCCAAUCCUUCCAGCACAUUGCAAGAGGACGCACUCAGUGCGGAGGUACAGGAGCAAGCUCGUGGCCGCGAGGAGGGAGGACGCGGACAACCAAAGUCCCGAGGUAAGUCCAAAGCCCCUUCUAUGGAUGCAUUGGAACCUCGUGUUGCCACGCUCGAAACGUCAAUGGCCGCUGUCCAAGACACCCUUGAUACAUUAGAGGAGCGAGUCGAUGGCCUUGAGGGCGAAUAUGGCGAAUUCACUGUAGCCACCAAAGCCCUUAUGCAAGACCAAGCCGACUCUCUCCAAGGGGAGUUUCGAGCGUUCCAUGACGAGCUGCUCAACCUGCGUACCUUCGUGCAAAAUGAGUUGCGUGCAGUCCGUGCGGAGGUUGACGAGGUCCGCUCGGAUUGGGCUUGGCACAAGCGCACACUCACGCUUAGCCCGGCUGCGGUUCUCGCAAGCUUGAGUGAUGAGCGUCGCAUUGACGUGCCCAAGCCCGAUACUUAUGAUGGUGCGCGCAAUGCCAUUGUGGUGGAUAACUUCCUGUUUGGGCUAGAACAAUAUUUCGACGCGAUGGGUGUCCGAGAUGAUGCGCAAAGGUAGGCACCGCGCCUACAUUCCUCCGAGGCUCCGCGCAACUAUGGUGGCGGCAGAAAAACGGUGAGAUGGGCAAGGGCAUUUGCGCCAUCAGCACAUGGGCCGAAUUUCAGCAGGAACUUCGCAAGCAUUUUGCCCCAAGCAAUGCGGAGAAGGAAGCACGAGCGCGGUUACGUCGGCUCAAGCAAACGGGUAGCGUCCACGAUUACAUCAACGACUUCACCACCCUUAUGCUUGAGAUUUAUGACAUGUCUGAUAAGGACUCUCUUCUACUUUCAAGACGGAGCUUGAUAGGCGUGGCGUGCAAACUCUCGACGAUGCCAUUGCCAUUGCGGAAUCACUCUCCGAUUACUCCGCCCAGCCCAAAGACAAGAGGCCUAGCCAUGGCAAAGGUGGGGGAGAGGGCCGAAAGGACAAAGGCCGCAACCGCAAGGAAUGGGGACAGAAAAAGCCUCCAAGCGGCAAGAGCGGGCAGGCAAGACAGAAAAACAGCAGCCGCCAAAGCCUCGAAGCCCAUGUUUCAUUUGCAAUGGCCCUCAUUGGGUGCGCGACUGUCCAGAGAAAAAGUCGCUUAGCACCCUUGCCGCUCAGCUCAAGGGCGACUCUCCAUCGACACCGGAAGAACCCCAACCUAGAGUGGGUUCCCUCAAACGCCUUGGAGCGCUUGAAAGCCAUCCGCCCAUAGCCACGAGGAAAGGGCUCAUGUAUGUGAACACCACAGUUAAUGGGCAAGCUGUUCGGGCAUUGCUCGACACCGGAGCCACCCACAACUUCAUCUUGGAAGAAGAGGCUAAGAGCCUAGGCCUAAAGGUGACAAAGGACGGAGGCACAAUGAAGGCGGUAAACUCACCCGCCAAGCCCAUUGCUGGCACCGCACAAGGAGUGCGCGUUACUCUUGGAACGUGGAGCGGAAAGCUCGACGUCUCGAUCGUGCCCAUGGACGACUUCAAGAUGGUCCUCGGUAUGGAGUUCUUCGACCGAGUUCAUGCAUUUCCACUGCCGGCCAUGAACUCCAUAAGCAUCCUCGAUGGGAGUAUGGCAUGCAUGGUUCCAGCCAAGCGCUCGAAGACUGCGGACAAGGCGCUCUCCGCCAUGCAGUUCAAAAGGGCUUUUCGGAAGGAUCCUAGCUUCUUGGUCUCCAUCCGGGAGGUGAAUAAUGAAGAAGAUCAAGAAGACUUGCCAAGCCAACCUCCUCCACUCAUCCAAUCAGUCCUUGACGAAUUCAAGGACGUCAUGCCUCCGAAGCUCCCACCAAGUCAAGAGGUGGAACAUGAGAUUGAGCUAGAGCAAGGCGCGAAGCCGCCAGCCUUAGCGCCUUACCGCAUGGCGCCACCCGAGUUAGAAGAGUUGCGGAGGCAACUCAAAGACUUGCUUGAUGCGGGCUACAUCCGCCCUUCCAAGGCCCCGUUCGGUGCACCGGUACUUUUUCAAAAGAAGAAGGAUGGAUUUCUACGCAUGUGCAUCGACUAUCGGGCGCUCAACAAGAUUACAAUCAAGAACAAGUAUCCGAUCCCCUUGAUUGUGGACUUGUUCGAUCAACUCGGCAGCGCGCGGUACUUCACCAAGCUCGACCUACGGUCCGGGUACUACCAAGUGCGCAUCGCCAAGGGUGACGAACCAAAGACGACGUGCGUGACCAGGUAUGGCUCUUUCGAAUUUCUUGUUAUGUCGUUUGGUCUCACCAAUGCACCGGUGACAUUCUGCACUCUCAUGAACAAAGUUCUCCAACCGUUUCUCGACCGUUUUGUUGUGGUGUACUUGGAUGACAUUGUGGUGUACAGCACCACACUCGAGGAACAUGCCCAACACUUACGGCAAGUUCUCCAAGUACUACGCAACAAUGAACUCUACCUCAAGCUGGAAAAGUGCUCGUUUGCCCAACGAGAGGUGGAGUUUCUUGGCCACAAGAUAGCGGACGGGAAACUCAUGAUGGAGGACACGAAAGUAAAGGCUAUACUUGAAUGGAAACCUCCCGCCAAUGUACCCAAACUCCGGUCUUUUCUCGGGCUAGUGAACUAUUACCGCCGCUUCAUCAAAGGGUAUUCGGCUAAAGCGGCACCCUUGACCGAACUAUUGAAGAAGAACCGCACGUGGCAUUGGUCCAAGGAAUGCCAACGCGCUUUCGGAGAAUUGAAGAAGGCUAUUUUCGAACAGCCCAUCCUCGCACUUCCAGACCAUACAAAGCCAUUUGAGGUUCAAACUGAUGCCUCCGACUUUGCCAUAGGUGGAGUACUCAUGCAAGAAUGUCACCCCAUAGCGUUCGAGAGCCGGAAGCUCAAUGACACGGAACGCCGCUACACCGUGCAAGAGAAGGAGAUGACAGCCAUUGUCCAUUGCCUACGUGUGUGGCGACACUACUUGCUUGGCUCACACUUCGUGAUCUUGACAGACAACGUAGCCACGAGCUACUUCCAAACACAAAAGAAGUUGAGCCUCAAGCAAGCUAGGUGGCAGGACUUUCUUGCGGAAUUUGAUUAUAGGCUCGAUUACAAGCCCGGAAAAGCCAACGUUGUUGCGGAUGCUCUAAGUCGCAAGCGGAGUUGGCUACACUUAGCAUGAGCCAGCCAAAGUCCGAUCUCAUCAUGCGCAUCAAGGAAGGCCUUCAACAAGAUCCAUUGGCGAAAGAUUUGUUGGACAAGGUGCUUGAAGGGAGGACGAGACGAUUUUGGCAAGAGGAAGGCAUCCUCCUCACCAAGGGAGACCGACUAUUUGUACCAAGGUGGGGAAAUUUGCGACGAGAGGUGAUCAAGGAUUGCCAUGAUUCGAAGUGGGCUGACCACCCCGGAGUAGAGCACAUGACCGCACUCGUCCAAGCCUCCUACUUUUGGCCACACAUGAGGGAUGACAUUGAGGCCUACGUGCGGACAUGUCUCGUGUGCCAACAAGACAAGGCGGAUCGCCAACUUCCGGCGGGACUAUUGGAGCCUUUACCAACAGCAUCAAGACCAUGGGAGAGUGUCACCAUGGACUUUAUCUCGGCCUUACCCAAAUCCGAGGGGUGUGGAAGCAUCAUGGUGGUAGUCGACCGCUAUAGCAAGUAUGCAACUUUCAUCGCCGCACCGACCGAUUGCAAAGCGGAUGAGGCUGCCCGCCUAUUUGUCAAGCACAUCAUCAAACUUUGGGGAGUUCCAAAAAGCAUCGUGAGCGACUGGGAUCCACGCUUCACCAGAUGCUUUUGGACGGAGCUCUUCAAGAUGUUGGGAACCGACCUCAAGUUCUUAACAAGCUUUCAUCCGCAAACGGAUGGACAAACCGAGCGCAUCAAUAGCCUACUCGAGAUGUAUCUUAGGCAUUAUGUGAGCGCUCACCAGCGAGAUUGGGUGAAGUUGCUGAACGUUGCCCAAUUCUCAUACAACCUACAAUGGAGCGAGGCUACGGGCAAGAGUCAAUUCGAGAUCAUCAUGGGAUUUCAGCCGACGACGCCCAACGCCAUAGCCUCGACCUAUGAAGGAAAGAGCCCAGCAGCCCACAAACUCGCUCACGAAUGGCAUGAAGAAGCGGAUAUCACGCGAGCAUAUCUCGACAGGGCCGCUCAGAGAAUGAAAAAGUGGGCUGACUCAAGGAGACGCCACGUCGAGUACAAGGAAGGCGACCAAGUGAUAGUGAAGCUCCUACCCCAACAGUUCAAGACAUUGCGGAAAGUCCACAAAGGGUUAGUAAGACGAUAUGAAGGGCCUUUCGAAGUAGUUCGACGCGUGGGCAAAGUCUCCUACCAACUCCAACUUCCACCAAAACUCAAGAUCCAUCCGGUCAUCCACGUGAGCUUGCUCAACCCAUACCACGGAGACAUGGGAGAUCCAAGCCGAGGCAAGUCAAGACGUGCCUCAACCGCCGCUGUCACCGCUAUUGACAAGGACAUGGAGUACAUUCUUGCGGAUCGAGUAAUCCGAAGACGAGGCAUACCGGCUUACUAUGAGUACUUGGUGAAAUGGAAGAACCUCCCCGAGAGUGAAGCAACAUGGGAGCGCGAAGACGAUCUAUGGCAAUUCGCGGAACAUGUGCAGCUCUACAAGCACAACAACGCGACGAGGACGCCGCGAACAUAGGUGGGGGAGGAUUGUCACGGGCUCGCUUGACGCUCAAGGUGGAUACACUUAGAAGUGGGGGUUAACUUAGAAAUUGGGCCACCAAGACAACUAACGGCCACCAAGACAACUAACUAACGCUCAAGGUGGAUACACUUAGAAGUGGGGGUUAACUUAGAAAUUGGGCCACCAAGACAACUAACUAGCUGGGGUGCACUUAGCAAAUCCCCCACCAAGGCCCAAAGUCUAGAACUCUCUACAUAUUACCCAUUCACUAGAACUUUCUAGGACUCAGCACUUGGGUCCCCAAGCAUUUUGCCACUUGUAAUAGAAUUCUCUAGAACUAGGCAUUCCUCCCCCUAUAAAUAGGGGUGAGCAUCCAUCAUUCUCAUCACCACCAACACACCCACACAACACACCUAGCACACUAGCUCUCAAGCUCUCUUGUACAAACACUCUUGUAAUUAUUCAAAGUGAAAUACAAUCAUCUUUGGCCAUUCCACUCUUAUUUCCCUUAACAUUUUCUCCAAGUGUGUGUGCUUGGCUUGUUUAGGGAGUAAUCUAGGCUUACUUGGCGACUCACAUGCUAAGGUCGCUCAAGUGUCGCACGGGAACUUGCUGCGCAAAACUAUCACCCC